rnacentral:rRNA from 1 species
AAACCAGGAUUAGAUACCCUAUUAUAAAAAUUUAAAUUAAUUUACUAAAAAAUUAAUAGUUAUGUUCUUUAAAUUUAAAAAAUUUGGCGGUAUUUUAGUCUUAUUAGAGGAACCUGUUUUUUAAUUGAUAAUCCACGAUUAAUUUUACUUAUUUUAAUUAAUUCAUAUAUCGCUGUCAUGAAUAUAUUAAAAAAUUUAUUUUCUUUAUUUAUUUUUAUAAUUUAUGUUAAGUCAAGAUGUGGUUUAUAAAUAAGUUAGUAAUGGGUUACAUUAAAUUUUAUUUUUGGAUUUUAAAUGAAAAUUAAGAUGAAAUUGGAUUUAAUAGUAAAUUUAUUUAUUUAGUAA